GGGUGCGAUCAUACCAGCACUAAUGCACCGGAUCCCAUCAGAACUCCGAAGUUAAGCGUGCUAGGGCGAGAGUAGUACUAGGAUGGGUGACCUCCUGGGAAGUCCUCGUGUUGCACUCC
rnacentral:rRNA from 1 species